AUGAACGCUGGCGGCGUGCCUAAUACAUGCAAGUCGAGCGAACGGACGAGAAGCUUGCUUCUCUGAUGUUAGCGGCGGACGGGUGAGUAACACGUGGAUAACCUACCUAUAAGACUGGGAUAACUUCGGGAAACCGGAGCUAAUACCGGAUAAUAUUUUGAACCGCAUGGUUCAAAAGCGAAAGACGGUCUUGCUGUCACUUAUAGAUGGAUCCGCGCUGCAUUAGCUAGUUGGUAAGGUAACGGCUUACCAAGGCAACGAUGCAUAGCCGACCUGAGAGGGUGAUCGGCCACACUGGAACUGAGACACGGUCCAGACUCCUACGGGAGGCAGCAGUAGGGAAUCUUCCGCAAUGGGCGAAAGCCUGACGGAGCAACGCCGCGUGAGUGAUGAAGGUCUUCGGAUCGUAAAACUCUGUUAUUAGGGAAGAACAUAUGUGUAAGUAACUGUGCACAUCUUGACGGUACCUAAUCAGAAAGCCACGGCUAACUACGUG
rnacentral:rRNA from 1 species